rnacentral:lncRNA from 1 species
AUCUAAUGCCAAUAGAGUGGUUGUGCCUUUUCGAUGCAAUCGAAUCACUGUAACCAGUCGAGAACGAUCAAUGCUGGAAAAGGCACCCAUAUCUCUACAACAGUAGAAGACCGGUAGACUUAAUAUUUAGUGAGAAGAUUUGAGUUUAGGUCUCUUCUAAUUAGUCACAUACAUAUGAUGUAAUGAUUAAUAUGAUUUGGAUCAGCAUAUUUCAUGUCUAACCAACCU